rnacentral:rRNA from 1 species
UACGUAGGGUGCAAGCGUUGUCCGGAAUUAUUGGGCGUAAAGAGCUCGUAGGCGGUCUGUCGCGUCUGCUGUGAAAACUCAGGGCUUAACCCUGAGCUUGCAGUGGGUACGGGCAGACUAGAGUGCGGUAGGGGAGACUGGAAUUCCUGGUGUAGCGGUGAAAUGCGCAGAUAUCAGGAGGAACACCGGUGGCGAAGGCGGCUACCUGGACCGGUUCUGAACGCUGAGGCGCGGAAAGCGUGGGUAGCAAACGAGGA